UAGUUCGGAUCACAAAAGCCUGUUUAUGGCCGUUUCUGCCUGCAGCCUUCGGAGGCCGCAUUUGUUAGUGUUUGGAGUCGUAUUUGUAAGCUGCAUACGUCAUUAUGACUGUCUUAUUAUAAAGUUGACUAUUAUUAACUGUAAACUGUUGUAAUAUGCUUAUGACUUGCGAACGUAAUGCUCAGUUAACUUAAAUAAACAAGGCUUGAUGACGUAUACAGCCUGCAUAUCCGACCUCCGCAGGCUGCAACCUUCGGAUUGAGAAACGGCCUAUGUUGUUGCUGAAACGAAACCAUCCCGUUAGCACACUUGUAAUUCCAGAGGUAAACAUAAUAUUCACUACAGUUGUGUGCGGAAAGUAUGUUGGCACAUCUUAUAGUUGUCAGAGGAAGCGAUUGGGGCACGUUUAAUGACAGUGUCUUCUGUUUCUGUCAAAGCCAGGAUCAUUUUGAAAAACAAACACCUGGUUGGGUUAUUUUGACCCAGCAAUUGGUUUAUUAAUUGCCGCACUUUCUGGAUUCUUCGCUUCUGACUGGAUCACGCUACUCGGACCAGGCGGUAUUUCAUGAGUUCAGUAGAAUCCACUGAAUUGACCCCAACAGAUCAUAUCACCAUGACAGUGGAACUUUUUUCAGCCUUUGCAGUUUGUCAGAUUUUGGAAAGCACCCCUGAGAGGAAAUCCGUAUUAAACCGUUAAAGUGCAAGCAAUUACCAACAAGCAGAGGAGGCUACUUGUGAGACUCCUUGCAUCCCAUCUGCUGGAAACCAAUGGUGAAACCUGAGCCAUCAUCAGACACUAAGAAGGCAUGUGACAAGGCAUUGGUGUAUGAAUUUCCUUGCCUGAAGGAUAUACAGCUGCUAAAGGGGAAACAGCACUGAAGAUGCCAACUCUGCUAGCUCCAUCCAUUUACAGGGGAGGAGGAGAAGUCUUCAGACCUACCACUGUGGAGGCCCAGAGGUCCUUUAUUGACAUGCAACCUGUGGGGACCAACAUGGUGGAAUAUCUGCAAAAUCAGAGAUGUUGCACGUUUUGUGACUUCGGGACGAGCCAAGAAGGACCUGCCAGACCUUUGCCAUUGUUGGAGGCAAUGCCUCUGAGACAAACUCUUUGGUGAAGGAUGUUGAUAAGUUUUUUUUGUCUUUGAUGUUAAGUACACAAAGCAAUAGGUGUGUUCGACUUCAUGCAGCGCUGCGCAGACCGAUCGGCGGCUGACUUGAAGCAGUGCAUUUUGGUUAGUACUUUUGUCCGACUUCAGCUGGCGCUGCAGGCACGUGACUGUGUCAUAUGGUUUUUAAGUACCGCGAGAGCGUUUCGAGAGUAGCCAGCUGGCUCAGCCGGUGCAGCUUCUCCAGAGCGGCUGCCCGGAGUUGUGAUGACGUAACAGCUUUACUUGAUUGGUCGCUUCAUUGAUGACAACGAUCACGUGCGUUUCAAGUUUAAUCCAACCUUUAGUUUCACUAAUAAACAUUAUAAAUUCAUGUUUUAAAACAGGAAAAAAACACUUUAAUAUCCUAAAAUAUGUUAUAUUGUGUCGUGUAAUAAAAUAAAAAUGAAAAUAACAAACUCUAUUGGUAUUUUAAUAAUCCCGUUAUUUUCGGGUA